rnacentral:misc_RNA from 1 species
ACGAAUUCAUCGGAGUUGUGCUGGUUCUUACAAGUGCACGCUCCUUAAUUCCAUUCACACCCAACGUGCACUCUAAGAGACGUAUUUCCCCUGUUUACGUGCCUUCGAUGGCUUGGGAUUUCGUCUGUUUAACACACUCUUAUUGUAAUAGAAUGUAACUUGGCUUAAUCGCCUAAAACUAUAAUA